CCUACGGGAGGCAGCAGUGAGGAAUAUUGGUCAAUGGCCGAAGGUCUGAACCAGCCAAGUAGCGUGAAGGAUGACUGCCCUAUGGAUUGUAAACUUCUUUUGUAUGGGAGUAAAGUGUUCCACGUGUGGGGUUUUGUGUGUACCAGAUGAAUAAGGAUCGGCUAACUCCGUGCCAGCAGCCGCGGUAAUACGGAGGAUCCGAGCGUUAUCCGGAUUUAUUGGGUUUAAAGGGAGAGUAGGUGGAUUGUUAAGUCAGGUGUGAAAGUUUGCGGCUCAACCGUAAAAUUGCAGUUGAAACUGGCAGUCUUGAGUACAGGAGAGGUGGGCGGAAUUCGUGGUGUAGCGGUGAAAUGCUUAGAUAUCACGAAGAACUCCGAUUGCGAAGGCAGCUCACUGGACUGCAACUGACACUGAGGCUCGAAAGUGUGGGUAUCAAACAGGAUUAGAUACCCCUGUAGUC
rnacentral:rRNA from 1 species